GUCCCUUCUCGGAAAUCUGAUAAAACUGGAAUGAGACAAACAAGAUUAGCAUGGCCCAUGCCCAGGAAUAACCUGCAUAUAUCAAGAAAAAAACGUAUGCAUU
rfam:Triticum aestivum genome assembly, contig: Triticum_aestivum_CS42_TGACv1_scaffold_570003_7AS